AACUUUCAUUAUAUAUAUAUCAAGUUUCAUUAUAUAUAUAUAUCAACUUUCAUUAUAUAUAUAUCAAGUUUCAUUAUAUAUAUAUCGACUUUCAUUAUAUAUAUAUAUCAACUUUCAUUAUAUAUAUAUCAAAUCUUUUUUUCCUACCGAGCCCCGGAAGGGACAUGUCCGUAUGGCGAAGCGACAACGAAGGACACUCACCCGGACGAGAAUUUUAUUGAGUUUUAUUUUAAAAUCGGCCUGAAACACACAGACAUUCAAGCAGUGCGAUGCGCUAAGAGUCUGCCAUGCAGACCAGCGAUCCUGAUAAUGGUAAGUUUUAUUUCUCCAACAUCCUGCUGUUAUCCUACUAUGAAUACGCUAGCUACAACAGUCCCACAUCAGUAUUAUGAACGUUCCGCCAGCUAACGCGGUCCGGACACCGGAUCAGUGAUUAGAGGUUGGCGUUCAACUAUUGUUUGCCAGCCAGUUAGCCGCUGGUAAGCUAACAAGCUAUGAAACAACUCCUUAUAAAACCGGAGGAAAGCAGCAGCAAUAUUUCAGUCCAAGACCUGUAUUCAGAACCUCCCACGCUGUUACACAAUGACCCAUUAAUCAUAUUACUGAACUAUAUGGUUAUCAUUGAAAUUUCCCUUGAAGAACCAGUGAACUCUUUGCGAACACAUUUUAAUUUAUGUGUUGAUUAUGUUUCGUAUCAGUAAUACAAGUCUAAAAAACUGAUUGAAAUGAUCAAGUUAACACAAUGAAGUAAAGAGUACUGGUAAUCUGCAGCUAUUUUCAUAAUUUCAAGGUGAAAUUCUGAUGUGUGAUUUUCUAGCUUUGCAGAUGUGGAAAUCCAAUGCACUGAUUUCUUAUACACAGAUGCUUUUGGUGUUUUUUGUUGUAAAAUAAAACAAGGCAUUUAUCACUGUUGGAAAUUAUUACAGGUAUUAUUUGUAACACUUUCUAACAUUGUAUGGACAAAGCAAUAAAUCAGUUAAUGGAUAAAAUCAUUUGUAUUACAGAUGCUAUCAACAGCAUGUCUUGUUCAUUUUAUUUAGUUGUCAGCCUUGGAUGAUGAGGUCCAGUUACCAGGAGCACUAGUCUGCAGCUUACUGGUUCCGUCCUGCAGCUCCUCCACGCUGUCCUCCUCUCUACAGACCAAAUCAAGAAAAGGGAACCAGGAAGCUGCUGUGGAUCCUCUGCAGUAUCUGGAGAGGUCAGAGGAACGGUUCUUGGAACAGAUCGGAAGACACCAAGACGUGACCUCUGCCAUGCUCCAGAACAUCCAGAAGAUGAAUGAAAACCUUGGUUGCACUGAUGGGACGCAUGGUGUCGGUGCUGGAGCAACUGUCCCAGAAUUAAACUGCAUUGUUGACUAUUGGCUUUUCUAGAAAAUAAAUCUUUUUUAGUACUUCA